rnacentral:rRNA from 1 species
UGCCAGCCGCCGCGGUAAUACGAAGGGUGCAAGCGUUACUCGGAAUUACUGGGCGUAAAGCGUGCGUAGGCGGUCUGUUAAGUCCGAUGUGAAAGCCCUGGGCUCAACCUGGGAAUGGCAUGGGAUACUGGCGGGCUCGAGUGCGGCAGAGGAUGGCGGAAUUCCCGGUGUAGCGGUGAAAUGCGUAGAGAUCGGGAGGAACAUCCGUGGCGAAGGCGGCCAUCUGGGCCAGCACUGACGCUGAGGCACGAAAGCGUGGGGAGCAAACAGGAUUAGAUACCCUGGUAGUCCACGCCCUAAACGAUGCGAACUGGAGGUUGGGUGCACUUUGGCGCUCAGUCUCGAAGCUAACGCGUUAAGUUCGCCGCCUGGGGAGUACGGUCGCAAGACUGAAACUCAAAUGAAUUGGCGG